CCGGGUGAGUAACACGUAUCCAACCUGCCGUCUACUCAUGGACAGCCUUCUGAAAGGAAGAUUAAUACAAGAUGGCAUCAUGAGUCCGCAUGUUCACAUGAUUAAAGGUAUUCCGGUAGACGAUGGGGAUGCGUUCCAUUAGAUAGUAGGCGGGGUAACGGCCCACCUAGUCUUCGAUGGAUAGGGGUUCUGAGAGGAAGGUCCCCCACAUUGGAACUGAGACACGGUCCAA
rnacentral:rRNA from 1 species